rnacentral:rRNA from 1 species
UAAAAGCUACCCCGGGGAUAACAGGCUUAUCUCCCCCAAGAGUCCACAUCGACGGGGAGGUUUGGCACCUCGAUGUCGGCUCGUCUCAUCCUGGGGCUGGAGUAGGUCCCAAGGGUUGGGCUGUUCGCCCAUUAAAGAGGCACGCGAGCUGGGUUCAGAACGUCGUGAGACAGUUCGGUCCCUAUCCAGCGUGGGCGUAAGAAAUUUGAGAGGAGCUGUCCUUAGUACGAGAGGACCGGGAUGGACGCACCAAUGGUGUACGAGUUGUUAGGCCACUAGCAUGGCUCGGUAGCUAAGUGCGGGAAUGAUAAGUACUGAAAGCAUCUAAGUACGAAGCAUGCCUCAAGAUAAGAUUUCUAAGAGUAGGUAAAGAAAAUACCUUAGAUAGGUCCAAGGUGUAAGUGCAGUAAUGUAUUAAGCUAAUGGAUACUAAACUUUAAAUCUUGACUGG